AAUAUCAACAACAUUGCUAUUCUAUAUUGGGUAAUACUUGUAUGCCGGUAAGAAAGUAAAACUUACACGGAAAAGCAAUGGAUAUGUGGAAAUUGGCAGAGUUUUUCUUAUUUCGUAACGAAAUGCAAAUGAUUUCAUCUUGUGAACAAGUAUCAAUGAAAUACACUUCGUAUAAUCUUCAGAUAUUUAGACAGAGGACAGUGGUGUGAAGAAAAACGUCAGUAUCCGAUGUAAAUACACAUGCAUGACAUGAUGUAGCUGCUGUAAAAUCGUUUUGGUUUGUGAUUUCAUGGUUGGAUCUUGAGUAUUUGGCAUGGCUCUUGAUUUAUUUUGGAGUGUUCAGAUUAGAAACCAAAUAGUGAUACCACUAGAUAUAGUUGAAAGGGAAUGUCCAUACACAGCCUUGGAGUACAUAGUAGUAGAGACAUGGCAGUCCAUUACAGAUUUUUGUCUGAAUUAAAGCUUCUUAGAGCUCCAUGGCUUGUGUAAACUGUCUGACUGAAUGUUUGUAUUCUAAUAAAAACUAAGGUUGAAGACACUUCAAAGACAUAUGUCAGUGUAAAAAUGUUAAACAAAAUAUCUGUCUUUCAAACUCUUUGUUAGAAAUAAAUAACCUGUCAUAAAUUUGUAUUAACUGAAUUAUAUUUAAAGAUAAUUUAUCUUCUGCAAAUGGCUGUCCAAAACAGUUUCAACCAGGCAUCAUAUAGUUUCAAAUCAGUUAAGAUAAAUCUGUUAUAAAUAGACU